ACUGACGUUACAUUAUGUAGUUUACUUACUGUUAAAUUUGUUUUCGAAGCCGGUUUUAUCAAUUUUUAUCACUUACAAGCUGAGCGUAUAACAAAAUACGACGAGAAUAACAAACAAAUAGUUGUCUUCAUAAAGUUUCCACGUCGGGUAAUCAACAACAAUCAUUGGUCACUGAUCACGGUGAGAAAGAGAUUACAGUUUCUUUAUUAUGAAUGACAACUCCUCUCCUUGUUUCUCUUUUUGAUUUUACUCCUUUUUCUUCUCGUUCGACCUUAGAAAAAUAUUUGGCGCGCGUGCCACAUUUCAGUUCAGGGCGUGGUAGCGUAAGUUCGUCUCUGCGUACGCAGUUUAAGGCAGGAAAGGUGAGGAUUAAGUUAAGUCGAGGCGCAGUUUUUACCACUUCAUGGCAGCUCCUGCCACGAACGAACCGCGCAGCUCUGGCCAUGUUUUUUAGCGCUAUUCAGGCUUAAAGGUGAAGAAAAAGUCGACCGACAUAUAUGAUGUUGUCACGGCUGAUGGUGGAAUAAGUAAUCGUUGUAAAUGGAAAGGGCUUUGCGAAGAAUCAAGAUAUUCUUACAGCUGGUGGCCGAGUGACAAUUGAUCGGUGUAAAUGGACAGGUACUUUCUGGACGAAACUGGAAAGAUAUUUAUCUCAAAAGAAGCAGACGUAGGAUGGCAGUUUCAUCUUGAUAGCGCGAGUGUUUAAGAAUUGUACAAUCUGUAUUUUCAUUUUUUUUGAAUUAUAGCUCAUUACCCGGGUUUUAGGUCAGCGCUUGCUUAGCCGAUCCUGAUAUUCACCCCACGACAGAUUACCAACGUGGGCUAUGGUGGGUAAUGGUUUGGGAUAGUAUUGAUUAUCACCUCUUUGGACUGUCGUCUAAAACUAGUAAACUCUCUUUAAAUUGUGACUGCAAUGCGGCACGUCUUAUUUGGUGUAGCUUAUAUUAGUGUUAAUUGGCCACUAAUUGGACUGAAAAGUGGAUUUAUAAUAAGUAUAUCCUAAUUUCUCUUUGUAAACGAGAUUUUUUUUUGAAUAAGGUAUGUUGUGAGUCUUCAAAGAAACGCAGCUUAUGCUCUGUCUCAAAUUUCGUUCUGUGCCGGAAUCUUUGCAGUUUGUGUUAUUUUAAGUUUGAUUCCUUUUUCUCAAUGGAUGUUUGAUAAAUAUAACCAAUGUGAAUA